GGGUCAGUAGGUUGGUCGUGCCACCGGUACGUACUGGUCUCACUGAUUCCUCCUUCCUGAGGAACCGUAAUGCCAUUAAUUUGGUGUUGCGGGGAAACAGGACUGUUACUUUGAAAAAAUUAGAGUGUUUAAAGCAAGCUAACGCUUGAAUACAUUAGCAUGGAAUAUUUAAAUAGGACGAUCGAUCCUAUUUUGUUGGUUUCUAGGAUUGACGUA
rnacentral:rRNA from 1 species